GUCUGGGGAUGGUUCUGGACAAAAAUACAAAUUUGGAGACCCAUCACUGGUUUGUAGGAUCAGUGAGAUCAUGAAAACUAGAAGUAAUUUCAACGCGACUUUUUUUAUUUACUUUGGAAAUGGUUCAGUUGGACACAUGAGUGAUAAGAGGUGGACAUUUCAAGUUCAAUUGUGUUUGAUGACUCAUUAGGUUAAAGAAGCUGUCAGGUGGUAAAGUCACCCCAGAGAAAUGAAGGGUAUUCUCCAGAAAGUGUGGAAACCCUGCCACUGCAGGCUAAUCAGGUGUGUUGACACAUCAGUGAGGAGCUGGCUCACAACACCUGGAGAAGCAAGCCAUGGAGGUGGAGCAGAAUCAAAUGAGCCUCCCACAAGGCACAAAGAUUCUCAGCAAGUCAGGACAUGUUACACAUGGAAAUUCCUACUCACCCAAGACAGAUGCCUAUUGCUGUGUCUCUCUCUUCCCAUACUUUCACAUUGUCUUGAAAUAUAAGCAAGAUGUGAGAGCCCACAGUGCUAUGGUAGGAGCCAUCUGCAGUGCCAUGGUCACCUGUGUCAGUGGUGGAACAAAGAGGGAAAGAUGGCUUCCACAUCCAGUGGUGACUUGAGUGGAAAAAGAAAAAAAAGAGCUCCUAUGCCUGCUGGCAGAUGCUACUGAUGGGACUAUGAGCAAUUAGAGGAGGUUUCACAUUUACUCACAACUUGGAAUUUCUAAGCAAAUUUUCACAACGCAAGGCAGCCGUACAUUCUGUGUACCUAACACUUUGUGCUUUCUCAUCUUGCUUGAUCAUUCAGGAAGCAGGUGGUCCAUUCUUUUGGCUCUAAAUAUUUUGCAUGUGAAGGGCAUAGGUAGGUGCACCACUUUGGAGAUUGUUAGCUGUGUCUGGUUCCGGGUGUCAGUUAGGCACAAAUUAGUAAGGCUGGAGGGGUUAAGAGUUGCAGAGAAGUCUGACGUGAUGGAUAAGUUAAGGAAGAGUCCUAAGAGGCCAGAAGUGAUAGAGCCCUAAAAACCAGAAUGGGCUGGUCAUGGCAUGGCAGAAGCUGACUUAUUUUUUAUCUCAUACAGAAUGGGUGUCUACUAGUUCAGUCUGUGCUUAUUUAUUAACAAAAUUAUUCACAGCAAUUCUCAGAGUCCUUCAUCAAAUUCAGUCUGCUCUUGAAUAUUCAGAAGAGAUUCUUUCUGAAUAAUGCACAAUAACUUUCUUUUUUUUUCCGAGAGGCUCCAAUGUGUCCACGCUUCUUUUUUCCCCCUUAUUUUAGUUUAAUAUAGGGUUUUCUCAGAUUUUUUUCCUAUAAUAGUUUACUAUUUUCCUAAAUCUUUCCAUUUUGUCAUCAAAUUCAACUAUUUCUCACCUCAUUCAUCUUACAGGUUGUUAAUAAAUAUACCAGAGAAUAAUGGUCCUGCUAUUGAUGGAUCCCAAGGGAGAAUUCCUAUUAAUCACUUCAAUCUUAGGGUGAGCCAUUUAUUCUUACUCUUUGUAUUUUC
rnacentral:lncRNA from 1 species